CAACGGGAAGCUGCAGAAGACGAGCUACCAGGAGGACGCCGUCGAGCUCGGCAAAUUUGCUCGCUGCUUCCCCACGACCUAGACAAGGUGUGUUGAUAUGUGCUGGCCUGCUGCCACCUAUCCGAGCUCCUGUCGCCGGCCACCAUUCCACCUUGCCGCUGCCGAGGACCUCUCUAAUAAGCUGCUGCUGGUGUGAUAGGACCGGUUGGAUUCCUGCUGUUAAUAGGGAGCAGUUGCUGCAUGGAUUGUGUUAGCAUCGAUCCUUUUUUGCCUGUGUAGGUGAGUAAUGGUCCAGAUGCUGAGCUGGUUUUGUGUUGUUUGUGAUUGGAGCUCUAUUCUGGUCUUGCAUGAUCAAUUGG